rnacentral:rRNA from 1 species
UACGGGGGGAGCAAGCGUUGUUCGGAUUUACUGGGCGUAAAGGGCGCGUAGGCGGCCACCGCAAGUCGACUGUGAAAUCUCCGGGCUUAACCCGGAAAGGUCAGCCGAUACUGCGGGCUAGAGUGCAGAAGGGGCAACUGGAAUUCUCGGGUGUAGCGGUGAAAUGCGUAGAUAUCGAGAGGAACACCUGCGGCGAAGGCGGGUGCUGGGCUGACACUGACGCUGAGGCGCGAAAGCUAGGGGAGCGAACGGG